rnacentral:rRNA from 1 species
GACGAACGCUGGCGGCGUGCUUAACACAUGCAAGUCGAACGGAAAGGGACUGCUUUGGUCGGCUGCACGAGUGGCGAACGGGUGAGUAACACGUGAGUAACCUGCCCCAGACUUUGGGAUAAGUUCUGGAAACUGGGGCUAAUACCGGAUAGGAGCUACAGCUGCAUGGUGGGGGUCGGAAAGUUUUGGCGGUUGGGGAUGGACUCGCGGCUUAUCAGCUUGUUGGUGGGGUAGUGGCUUACCAAGGCAUUGACGGGUAGCCGGCCUGAGAGGGUGACCGGCCACAUUGGGACUGAGAUACGGCCCAGACUCCUACGGGAGGCAGCAGUGGGGAAUAUUGCACAAUGGGCGGAAGCCUGAUGCAGCAACGCCGCGUGCGGGAUGACGGCCUUCGGGUUGUAAACCGCUUUCGCCUGUGACGAAGCGAGAGUGACGGUAAUGGGAGAAGAAGCACCGGCUAACUACGUG